UCCCCGAUAGCUCAGUUGGUAGAGCAGAUGACUGUUAAUCAUCUUGUCGUAAGUUCGAGUCUUACUCGGGGAGCCA
rnacentral:tRNA from 1 species